rnacentral:rRNA from 1 species
AUUGAACGCUGGCGGCAGGCUUAACACAUGCAAGUCGAACGAGUGGCGGACGGGUGAGUAAUGCUUGGGAAUCUAGCUUAUGGAGGGGGAUAACUACGGGAAACUGUAGCUAAUACCGCGUACCAUAGGAUGAGCCCAAGUGGGAUUCGGUAGUUGGUGAGGUAAAGGCUCACCAAGCCGACGAUCUCUAGCUGGUCUGAGAGGAUGACCGGCCAUACUGGAACGGAGACACGGUCCAGACGCCUACGGGAGGCAGCAGUGGGGAAUAUUGCACAAGGGGCGCAAGCCGGAUGCAGCCAUGCCGCGUGUAUGAAGAAGGCCUUCGGGUUGUAAAGUACUUUCAGCGAGGAGGCGUUACUCGCAGAAGAAGCACCGGCUAACUCCGUGCCAGCCGCCGCGGUAAUAC